CAUGUACUCCCUCCGUCUAGAAAUACUUGUCAUCAAAAUGGAUAAAAGGAGAUGUAUCUAGACGUAUUUUAGUUCUAGAUACAUCCUUUUUUGUCCAUUUUGAUGACAAGUAUUUUUAGACGGAGGGAGUAUAUU
rnacentral:pre_miRNA from 1 species